GUGGGGAAUAUUGGACAAUGGGCGAAAGCCUGAUCCAGCCAUGCCGCGUGUGUGAAGAAGGUCUUCGGAUUGUAAAGCACUUUAAGUUGGGAGGAAGGGCAGUAAGUUAAUACCUUGCUGUUUUGACGUUACCGACAGAAUAAGCACCGGCUAACUUCGUGCCAGCAGCCGCGGUAAUACGAAGGGUGAAAGCGUUAAUCGGAAUUACUGGGCGUAAAGCGAGCGUAGGUGGUUUUGUAAGUUGGAGGUGAAAUCCCCGGGCUCAACCUGGGAACUGCCUCCAAAACUGCAUGACUAGAGUACGGUAGAGGGUAGUGGAAUUUCCUGUGUAUCGGUGAAAUGCGUAGAUAUAGGAAGGAACACCAGUGGCGAAGGCGACUACCUGGACUGAUACUGACACUGAGGUGCGAAAGCGUGGGGAGCAAACAGGAUUAGAAACCCUUGUAGUCC
rnacentral:rRNA from 1 species